AAUUAUUAAACCCUUUCGGGUUAGCAUGAAAAGAAGACCAGAGCAGCCUCUGAGCCAAGCAACAGGGCGCAGAUAAUUAACGGAAACAACUUCCACUUGCCUUUUAAAAAUAUUUAUAGUCGUCUCUUUUUCUGAACCCAAGGCCAUUAGCAUUAUUAAUUAUCAUUAAGAAAGGAUUGUGGUUAAUGACAAAUUCGAAUCUCCUGUUCAUGCAAGUACUCAAGUCUCUGUAGUAAAACUAAGGAGGAGGAAUAAUGAUGCGUAUCCAAUGAUGUGGAGUGGUGAAGAUCCAAAUCCAAACAAGCACACAGUGCGCAACAAUUGGAACCUAAGCGAGUUUCGUCAGAAAAAGGAUAACAAAGCCCACGAGGUACACCUCAUUCUGUUUUCCUUUUUUUGUUCGAAAUUAAAAAAAAGGAAAAAAGAAGAAAGAAAAAGUUUAGGAACUCGGCAUAACAGUGGCACAUAUUCACAUCAUUAUUAUUUCAUUUGAAAACCAAGACAGCGAUGUUUAUGCUUAUGCUUGUGACGCUGAAGACGAAAGCCUGGUGGAUUCAGCUGCAAACUCUUUCUCACUAGCACUCAAAGGUAUCAUAUACCAAUCCAAAAGCCCCUUUUUGCGCCCCCUGAUUUAAUCAUUUUUUUUUUAAUCCCUAGGAUUUUACUUUUCCUUUUAUCGAUAAAGAAUGUCAAGAUAGGAGAUCAAGAUUUGAAGCGUGAUCAGCCUGGUGCAUUGGAUCUGGGCAUUUUACAAUGCAAAGCCAAAAGGGUUGGAGCUCUGGAAGAGUUGCUCUGCAUGUGAAUGGUACUCCAACUCCAAGGAAGAACAUUGGCGGCGGAGCUAUGCUGCCGUUUAAUAAUGGGAGAGGACUACCUUCAAAGUGGGAAGACGCUGAAAGAUGGAUUCUAAGCCCUGUAGGUAGAGAUGGUGUUAGUGGGAAUUUGGUUUCACCACACCAUAGGAGACCAAAGUCAAAGAGUGGUCCACUUGGUCCACCAGGUGUUGCUUAUUAUUCAAUGUAUUCUCCGGCAGUGCCACUCUUUGGAGGAAGGCAUUCCGCUAAUUUGGCCGGGCCUUCUCCGUUUUCACCAGCUGUAGCUUCAUCUGAUUCAUUCACAAACCGCUCCGGUGGUGGCCGUGGUGUUGUCGUUCUGCCCACCACAGAGCCUACUUUGCUCCGGUCCGCUAGUGUCCAUGGAUGUUCUGAAAUGCAGAGUGAACCAUCAGCGCCUGAUCAAGAGGAUAAGCUUCAUAGCUUCAAAGAUGUGGGCACCGAUGUAUCUGGUGCUGUUUCGAGGAGGGACAUGGCAACCCAGAUGAGCCCACAGGGUAGCCAAUGCUCCUCUCCCAAUUUGAGGUCUUCUUUCUCUACCUCCACUCCGUCUUCGUCGACCUUCACAGAAUGGCGGAAUGUUGCUUCCUCUAAAAUGGAUAUAAGGGAUGUUCAGGUAGAUGAACAUGUCACUGCAACAAAGUGGUCCAAGAAACACAGGGCCUUAUUUUCUGGCAGAGGCUCAGAAAAUUUUGAAAGCAAGCAAAAGAAAGAAAUUAGAAAUCUAGCUUCAGCUUGGGAUAUUGCUGAAACGCCAAAAACUGCCUCUAAGGCUGAAAGGGAGGAAGCCAAAAUCAAUGCAUGGGAGAACUUGCAAAAGGCAAAAGCUGAGACAGCAAUACGGAAACUAGAGGGGCUCGUAUUUUGGAAUUAUCCCUUAUCGUUUUGCUGAUUAGAAAGCCCUAUUAUAUAAUUAUGAUCAUAGAUUGUGUGGAUUACAUUAUUGACGAAAAGAUAAGUUCGUAAAUGUAAUAAUGAAGCUAGAAAAGAAGAGAGCAUACUCUAUAGACAAGAUUAUGAACAAGCUUAAAUUGGCACAGAAAAAGGCUGAGGAAAUGAGAAGUUCAGUUAUAAACAUAGAAGCUGAUGCUGAUCAAGUUGUACAAACGUCUCGCAAGGCUAAAUUAUUUCUUAGAAUCAGUCAGAUGGGUUCAUUGAGUGGUUGUUUCAACUGGCAUGCCUCUUAAAGCAUACUUCAAGUGCAAUUUGAGUGAUAUAUUGGGUAUGUUCCUCUGUAAUUUAUUAUCGUUGCUGUUUGCAAUCUAUGAAACAACAAAAUUCAUGUAAUAUAUUCAUUUGUUAGUGAAAAAUGGAGUUAAAAGUUUUGUAUUUC